rnacentral:lncRNA from 1 species
GCGCGCCCUCGGUGACGUAUUAGGGCGCGACUUCGGUGACGUCUUAGGGCGCGACUUCGGUGACGUCUCAGAGGCGCGCCUUCGGCAACGUCAUACACGCUGGCCUUCCGCGACGCCACAGACGCGCGCUUUCAGCGACGUCACAGGGGCGAUAUAGUACCUGGAGCUGGUCAGUCUCCUCAGAGUCGAGCCUGGUAACCGCGACCUCCUCUCCAGGUCAUGUGUAUUGCUGGCUGGAGAAGGGUAGUUGACAAACUCCCACCCAGCACAGUGUGUAUGUCCGUCAAAAAUAGGAAACUGUGUCCGGUGGCGGCGGAUGCGAGAGGAUCCUUUCGGGCCAAGAGCAGCCUGUUAACCUGGCGCGACCCCAUCUCUUUAGUCCCACCUCAGCUUCCCAGCUACUUGAACCCCGCAAGGUUCAAGGCUCCAAUGAGCUAUGAUCCCACCACAACACUCCAGUCUGCGAGACUGAGGCUGGAGUUGCAAUCUCAGCUUACCACAACGUCCACCUCCCAGAUUCAAGAGAUUCUCCUGCCUCAGCCUCCCAAGUUGCUGGGACUACAGGGGUGCAUCCCACGCCCAGCUGGAGUUUUGCUCUUGUUGCCCAUGCUGGAGUGCAAUGGUGUGAUCCUGGCUCACUGCAAUCUCUGCCUUCCAGGUUCCAGUGAUUCUCGUAGCUCAGCUUCCUGA